GGCGGCAUGCUUAACACAUGCAAGUCGAACGUGAAAGCACUUCGGUGUGAGUAGAGUGGCGGACGGGUGAGUAACGCGUGGGAAUCUGCCCAGUAGUGGGGGACAACUACCGGAAACGGUAGCUAAUACCGCAUACGCCCUAUGGGGGAAAGGCUUCGGCCGCUAUUGGAUGAGCCCGCGUCAGAUUAGCUAGUUGGUAGGGUAAAGGCCUACCAAGGCAACGAUCUGUAGCUGGUCUGAGAGGACGAUACAGCCACACUGGGACUGAGACACGGCCCAGACUCCUACGGGAGGCAGCAGUGGGGAAUAUUGGACAAUGGGCGAAAGCCUGAUCCAGCAAUGCCGCGUGUGUGAAGAAGGCCUGCGGGUUGUAAAGCACUUUCAGUUGGGAAGAUGAUGACGUUACCAACAGAAGAAGCACCGGCUAAAUCCGUGCCAGCAGCCGCGGUAAUACGGAUGGUGCGAGCGUUAAUCGGAAUUACUGGGCGUAAAGCGCGCGUAGGCGGCUAAGUCAGUCAGAAGUGAAAGCCCCGGGCUCAACCUGGGAAUUGCUUUUGAUACUGCUUGGC
rnacentral:rRNA from 1 species